AGCAGCCGCGGUAAUUCCAGCUCCAAUAGCGUAUAUUAAAGUUGUUGCAGUUAAAAAGCUCGUAGUUGAAUUUCGAGACCGGUUUACUGGUCGUGCUUUUGUACGUUCUGGUAUAAUCGGUUUCUCUUUUCUGACGAACUAUAAUGCCAUUAAUUUGGUGUUAUAGGGAAUCAGGACUGUUACUUUGAAAAAUUAGAGUGUUUAAAGCAGGCUCACGCUUGAAUACAUUAGCAUGGAAUAACGAAAUAGGACGUUUGAUUUUAUUUUGUUGGUUUCUAGGAUCGACGUAAUGAUUAAUAGGGAUAGUUGGGGGCAUUAGUAUUCAAUUGUCAGAGGUGAAAUUCUUGGAUUUAUUGAAGACUAACUACUGCGAAAGCAUUUGCCAAGGAUGUUUUCAUUAAUCAAGAGCGAAAGUUAGGGGAUCGAAGACGAUCAGAUACCGUCGUAGUC
rnacentral:rRNA from 1 species